AAUUCCGAAUUUCGAGUUCGUGCAUUGUUUUAGAAUGUAACUCAUUCGGCCUUUUUCACAUUCGGGCUAUCUGCUUCGCUUUCAUCCUAAUUUAUCAGAAUUCGUGAUGCUCUGUCAAAAAUACAAGAAAAACUGUAUUGGUCAUAAUCCUUUUGAAAAAUUCGCGUCGAAUAUAAUCUAAGGUUGUUAUUCUAUGCUAUCCUGCUCAAUAACCAUUUCAGUUGUUGCCCGAGGUUCUAGAAACGCCUUAUCUAAUUUUAGUCCUUGUAUCUCAUACCAACAGUUUACGUAUUGCUGUGCUUCCGAGGCAAAUUUUAUUCAAUUCUAUUUUCUUUUAUUCGUCAUUUCAGAAUCCAUGAGCAAAUGCACAGUUGGAUUCGUUUAUCUGUGUUUUUUCCGUUUUGAUUAUAGAAAUAAUUACAGUUCAGUAGAAUGUGUCCGCGUUAUGAGUGACUGUACAAUGCAAUUAUUGCGUUGCGCUUAUACUUUUUUAAAUAAGAAUAGAGUUGCUCUUUAUCGCACAUAUAAGAUAUGCGAGGCAAGCAUGUGUUAUCAACAAAAAAUGCAGCUUUACAAUGUUCAGAAAUGACUAGACAGUUAACCAUAUCGUAUCGUUUUAAGUCGAGUAACACGUGUCUGCAAUUAAAAAAAGCCCAGUCACGCGAGUAGUUACGAGCAACGGUUCUCAAAAACGGGUAACGAUUUAUUUUUUCCAUUACGAAGAACACGGUUCGCGGUAUUAUUACUUGUUGGAGAACCCCCAUAAUAUCUACUGCGGUUUGAUAGAAGGUUCCAACUUGUAACCUUUUUAUUUAUUGCACGAAGUAUGUACCGUGAGAUAAAAGAUGAUAAAUGGUUACCUGCACCGCCGACUCUUACGGAUAUCAUCAGUGGGUUCCCUGAACUUAUGUGGCACUUUGGGCGCCACUCAAACUAUUUUUUCCUAAGUGAACUACGGGGUUGAGAUCGUACCAGGGUUUGUUUUAGAGGUAUAUGAUUGUCGAUUUGCCUCCUUUGAAUAGCGCUUGAAGCUUUUCUAUCUUUGACGAUUCAGCUGUAUUUUUGUUACUUCCAAAAUUGAGUUAUAUUUCGAAUUACACUUAUCUCGUUUAUGAGGAUAUAACUUGGAAAUUUCACACGUGACUUUUGCAAUGUGACAGUUGAUCUCGUGGAUUAGAGUUUGAAGGCAUACCAACCAAAUAUACAGCGUACCUGUUUGCUCUUAUCAGAUAGAGAACGGUCAUCUUGUCGAGCUGCCAUUAAGCCAUUCUCGACACUUGGGGAUUAGAUAAGAAAUAGAUAAGAAAGUUGGAAAUGAACUAAAUACAUUGAUGUUCCAUUUUUUGAAGAUUGGCUCAGAUCUGGGAUUAUUUUGUAAACGGUUCCAUUCGCCAAUCGUAAUGAUAAAAAAUUUUAAAUCGACCAAUAGUCAAAAUUACACUGAUUACUUAUUUGCUACUAGUUGAUUACACUAACGAUUUAACUCAUGUAUAAAAAAUCGCAUAUUAUGCUGUAAUACAAUUGUCACUUUGAUCAAAAAGUACGAAGGAGAGGAUUAGCAGCUCCACUAAUCCCUCAGAUGAUCCAAUUACAUUAAAAAUGAUUAUCAAGAAAUUAGAAGGAAACCAGAAUAGAAGAAAAUGAAAAAGAAAUAAUAGC